rnacentral:rRNA from 1 species
GAUUAACGCUGGCGGCGCGCCUAACACAUGCAAGUCGAACGAGGUAGCAAUACCUAGUGGCAGACGGGUGAGUAACGCGUGGUCAACCUACCGUUGAGUGGGGGAUAACUAGCCGAAAGGUUAGCUAAUACCGCAUACGUCUCCGAGUGGCAUCACUUGGCGAUAAAAGGAGCAAUCCGCUCGAUGACGGGACCGCGUCCCAUUAGCUAGAUGGUGGGGUAACGGCCUACCANGGCUCCGAUGGGUAGCUGGUUUGAGAGAGCGACCAGCCACACUGGGACUGAGAAACGGCCCAGACUCCUACGGGAGGCAGCAGUGAGGAAUUUUCCGCAAUGGGCGCAAGCCUGACGGAGCGACGCCGCGUGUGGGAAGAAGGCC